ACGUCAAAUCAUCAUGCCCCUUAUGACCUGGGCUACACACGUGCUACAAUGGUUGGUACAACGAGUUGCGAGUCGGUGACGGCGAGCUAAUCCUCUUAAAGCCAAUCUCAGUUCGGAUUGUAGGCUGCAACUCGCCUACAUGAAGUCGGAAUCGCUAGUAAUCGCGGAUCAGCACGCCGCGGUGAAUACGUUCCCGGGCCUU
rnacentral:rRNA from 1 species